rnacentral:rRNA from 1 species
UACGUAGGGGGCUAGCGUUGUCCGGAAUCAUUGGGCGUAAAGAGCGCGUAGGCGGCUGGAAUAGUCCGGUGUGAAAUCCACAGGCUUAACCUGUGAAUGCCGCUGGAAACUGUCUGGCUAGAGUCCGGAAGGGGCGAGUGGAAUUCCUGGUGUAGCGGUGAAAUGCGCAGAUAUCAGGAGGAACACCGGUGGCGAAGGCGGGUCUCUGGGCCGAUACUGACGCUGAGGAGCGAAAGCGUGGGGAGCGAACAGG